rnacentral:rRNA from 1 species
AUGAACGCUGGCGGCGUGCCUAAUACAUGCAAGUCGAGCGAACAGACGAGGAGCUUGCUCCUCUGACGUUAGCGGCGGACGGGUGAGUAACACGUGGAUAACCUACCUAUAAGACUGGGAUAACUUCGGGAAACCGGAGCUAAUACCGGAUAACAUGUUGAACCGCAUGGUUCAACAGUGAAAGACGGUCUUGCUGUCACUUAUAGAUGGAUCCGCGCCGCAUUAGCUAGUUGGUAAGGUAACGGCUUACCAAGGCAACGAUGCGUAGCCGACCUGAGAGGGUGAUCGGCCACACUGGAACUGAGACACGGUCCAGACUCCUACGGGAGGCAGCAGUAGGGAAUCUUCCGCAAUGGGCGAAAGCCUGACGGAGCAACGCCGCGUGAGUGAAGAGGGUCUUCGGAUCGUAAAACUCUGUUAUUAGGGAAGAACAAAUGUGUAAGUAACUAUGCACGUCUUGACGGUACCUAAUCAGAAAGCCACGGCUAACUACGUG